GGCAACCCGCUUGGGUCCCCUUCCACACUGUGGAAGCUUUGUUCUUUUGCUCUUUGCAAUAAAUCUUGCUACUGCUCACUCUUUGGGUCCAUGCUGCUUUUAUGAGCUGUAACACUCACCACGAAGGCCUGCAGCUUCACUCCUGAAGCCAGCGAGACCACGAGCCCGCCGGGAGGAACGAACAACUCCAGAUGUGCCGCCUUAAGAGCUGUAACACUCACCGCAAAGGUCUGCAGCUUCACUCCUGAGCCAGCGAGACCACGAACCCACCAGAAGGAAGAAACUCCGAACACAUCCGAACAUCAGAAGGAACAAACUCCAGACGCACCACCUUAAGAGCUGUAACACUCACCGCAAGGGUCCGCAGUUUCAUUCUUGAAGUCAGUGAGACCAAGAACCCACCAAUUCCGGACACAUUUUGGCGACCCAGAUGGGACUUUCGCCUAUCACCAAGCGGUGAGACCAUCACCUAUAGCUGAGCGGUGAGACCAUCACCUAUAGCUGAGCGAAUCAAGGCCAUCAAGCUACAGAUGGGCUUACAAAUGGAACCCAAAAUGAGUUCAACUAACAACUUCUACCAAGGGCCCCUGGACCGACCCACUGGCACUUCCCCUGGCCUAGAGUUCCCCUCUGAAGGACACUACAACUGCAAGGCCCCUUCUUCACCCCAUCCAGCAGGAAGUAGCUAGAGCGGUCAUCGGCCAAAUUCCCAACAGCAGUUGGGGUGUCCUGUUUAGAGGGGGGAUUGAGAGGUGACAGCAUGCUGGCAGUCCUCAGCCCUCACUCACUCUUGGCACCUCCUCUGCCCGGGCUCCCACUUUGGUGGCACUUGAGGAGCGCUUCAGCCCACCGCUGCACUGUGGGAGCCCCUUUCUGGGCUGGCCAAGGCCAGAGCCGGCUCCCUCAGCUUCCAGGGAGGUGUGGAGGGAGAGGCUCAAGCGGGAACUGGGGCUGCGUGCGGCGCUUGCGGGCCAGCUGGAGUUCCGGGCGGGCGUGGGCUUGGCGGGCCCUGCACUCAGAGCAGCCAGCCGGCCCUGCCGGCCCCGGGCAGUGAGGGGCUUAGUACCUGGGCCAGCAGCUGUGAAGGGUGUACUGGGUCCCCCAGCAGUGCCAGCCCACCGGCGCUGCACUCGAUUUCUCACCGGGCCUUAGCCGCCUUCCCAUGGGGCAGGGCUUGGGACCUGCAGCCCGCCAUGCCUGAGCCUCCCACACCCCCUCCAUGGGCUCCUGUGCGGCCCGAGCCUCCUCGACGAGCGCCACCCCCUGCUCCACGGCACCCAGUCCCAUCGACCACCCAAGGGCUGAGGAGUGCGGGCGCACGCAGGGGACUGGCAGGCAGCUCCACCUGCAGCCCCGGUGCGGGAUUCACCGGGUGAAGCCAGCUGGGCUCCUGAAUCUGGUGGGGCUUUGGAGAACCUUUACAAUCCCUGAGCUAGACAUAAAUACACCAAUCGGCACUCUGUAUCUAGCUCAAGGUUUGUAAACACACCAGUCAGCACCCUGUGUCUAGCUCAGGGUUUGUGAGUGCACCAAUUGACACUCUGUAUCUAGCUGCUCUGGUGGGGCCGUGAAGAACCUUUAUGUCUAGCUCAGGGAUUGUAAAUACACCAAUCGGCACUCUGUAUCUAGCUCAAGGUUUGUAAACACACCAAUCAGCACCCUGUGUCUAGCUCAGGGUUUGUGAGUGCACCAAUGGACACUCUGUAUCUAUCUGCUCUGGUGGGGCCUUGGAGAACCUUUGUGUGGAUACUCUGUAUCUAAUCUGAUGGGGACGUGGAGAACCUUUGUAUCCAGCUCAGGGAUUGUAAACGCACCAAUCAGCGCCCUGUCAAAACAGACCACUGGGCUCUACCAAUCAGCAGGACGUGGGUGGGGCCAGAUAAGAGAAUGAAACCAGGCUGCCCCAGCCAGCAGUGGCAACCCGCUUGGGUCCCCUUCCACACUGUGGAAGCUUUGUUCUUUUGCUCUUUGCAAUAAAUCUUGCUACUGCUCACUCUUUGGGUCCAUGCUGCUUUUAUGAGCUGUAACACUCACCACGAAGGCCUGCAGCUUCACUCCUGAAGCCAGCGAGACCACGAGCCCGCCGGGAGGAACGAACAACUCCAGAUGUGCCGCCUUAAGAGCUGUAACACUCACCGCAAAGGUCUGCAGCUUCACUCCUGAGCCAGCGAGACCACGAACCCACCAGAAGGAAGAAACUCCGAACACAUCCGAACAUCAGAAGGAACAAACUCCAGACACACCACCUUAAGAGCUGUAACACUCACCGCAAGGGUCCGCAGUUUCAUUCUUGAAGUCAGUGUGACCAAGAACCCACCAAUUCCAGACACAUUAGCACUGGCUCCUUUUUUUUUUAGACGGAGUCUCGCUCUUUUGCCCAGGCCGGAGUGCAGUGGCGCGAUCUCGGCUCACUGCAAGCUCCGCCUCCCAGGAGAAUCACUUGAACCUGGGAGACGGAGGUUGUAAUGAGCCAAGAUUGCACCACUGCACUCUAGCUCGGGCUACGGAGCAAGAAUCUGUCUCAAAAAAAAAAGAAAGAAAGAAAGAAAGAAAGAAAGAAAGAAAGAAAGAAAGAAAAAGAAAAAAUUAGCCAAACAUGGUGGUUCAUGCUUGUAACCCCAGCUACUCAGGAGGCUGAAGCAGGAGAAUCGCUUGAACCUGGCAGGCAGAGGUUGCAGUGAGCUGAGAUUGUACCACUGCACUUCAACCUGGGCAACAGAGUGAGACUCCAUCCCCACUCCCCCACAAAAAAAACAGCAGCUAGAGGCUGGCCAGGGAACUAUGUUUCUCAUAGAGGCCUGCCUGCCUGCCUGCCUUCCUUCCUUCCUUCUUUCCUUCCUUCUCUGUUUUUCUUUGACAUGAAUUAAAAAAUAAUUUUCAUUA